rnacentral:rRNA from 1 species
AACGAACGCUGGCGGCAUGCCUAACACAUGCAAGUCGAACGAGACCUUCGGGUCUAGUGGCGCACGGGUGCGUAACGCGUGGGAACCUGCCCUUAGGUUCGGAAUAACUCCCCGAAAGGGGUGCUAAUACCGGAUAAUUUCUUCGGACCAAAGAUUUAUCGCCUUUGGAUGGGCCCGCGUUGGAUUAGCUAGUUGGUAGGGUAAAAGCCUACCAAGGCGACGAUCCAUAGCUGGUCUGAGAGGAUGAUCAGCCACACUGGGACUGAGACACGGCCCAGACUCCUACGGGAGGCAGCAGUGGGGAAUAUUGGACAAUGGGCGAAAGACUGAUCCAGCAAUGCCGCGUGAGUGAUGAAGGCCUGAAGGUUGUAAAGCUCUUUUACCCGGGAUGAUAAUGACAGUACCGGGAGAAUAAGCUCCGGCUAACUCCGUG